CUGGACUCUGCUCUGAUUUAUUGCCUUCAUACGCCAGAGACCAGAGAAGAAAAAGAAGGGAUAAGAAAAGGGCCAGAACAGGAAGGUGUGUUCCAGUUCGCAGCUGUGUCUCUAACCGAACACUACAGCCACCUUACCUGACUCUCCAUAUCCCUGUGACGCUGGCUCUCUGGUCUCUUCACUGGCCUGAUAUGAAACAGGAAUCUCCGAGGCUCUACACAGUCGGAUUCAUCUGGCACCAUGUUCUCCUUUACUCUGCGUGUGUCUGUCCACAUAAGUGGCCUGGAGUUCCUUAGAGGUCCCCUGUGCCUGCCUGCCUCGUUCCAGGCCUUUCUGGAGCCUGUUCCCUCUCCUUGGAAUGUUCUCCCUCCCACUCACUCUGAUAGGAUUCUCUCCUGGAGCCCUUUCCUGACCCUCACCAGGAUCAGCCCUGGCAGGAUUGUCAACAGUUGACCUUCAGAGCUCCCUGU